rnacentral:lncRNA from 1 species
UAUAAAAUUCUCCACCUUGAACUUCUAUUCCAUGUCUCUUGAUCUUAGAUACUAUAUUUGACGAUCUAUCUCUAUUAGACAAUCGUUGGACUUGCCCAUCACGGCAUGAGAGGAGUUACCCCCUGUAAUGUUUGAUUAAUAACCGCAUCUCCUGUCUAUCAUUGAAGAAGGGAAGGAAAAGAAGAGAGAAAGACUAGGACUUUCUUUGCGAGAACAUGAACCCUGGUUCCCCUCUGUCACAUGUCAGAUCAAUGACGUAGAACAGAAAAAAUGCAUAGUUUUAUGAUAGAUCCCCAGAUCUCACCCUCACCUCUGCAAGCAAGAAAGAAUCAAGGGUAGCUUUCACGCCACUCAACUUUCAGGAUCGAGCCAGAGAAAGGAGAAAAAAAAAGAGCUUUCUUUCAAGCAGUUAGCUGGAGGUAGUGGGAAAACAAAGACCAAGGAAAAAAGUCAACGACGGGUUGAAGAACUUAGUUUCAAGACUCUAUCUGGGGCUAAUCGCGAAGAACCGUGCUAGCCGAGCUAGCCCAAAGGUGGAUUCUGCUUCUGCUUGAGCUACCUGAGUUGAAGGCAGAAGAAGCAAUCGGGAGGGAAGAGUCCAAGCUAUUCAUACUAACUUUAGCUUUGAGCAAGAGAAGAUUCCUUUCCACCCAGUCAAUCAUUGUGAUUGAAUUCUGAAAAAGAAAGAUAGAAAGAUCGGGCAAUCUCCUAUAUCAAGGCUUGGAACGAUCCCUAUAGCCACUGCUUGCCUAACAACUGUUAACCUUUAAAAUUCAAUUGUUCUGCUCUACGCUGGCACAAGGGCGUG